rnacentral:lncRNA from 1 species
GGCUUACCUUGCCCCCUUGAGCAUUACCAGAGACCUGGAUCAGAACGAAACUUCAAUGGCACUAGAUCAACUACCUUCAUCUUUGUAAGAGCCGCUCAGCUCUGAAAGUGUGUCAAGCCCUUCUCUCAGCCCAGCUCCAGGGUUCCCAAGAUCACUCACUUGCAGUCCUCCCCAUCCAGCAGGCGACGGUAGGUGGCAAUCUCUGACUCCAGCCGGGCCUUGACAUCCAGUAACACCUGAUACUCAUGGUUCUGCCGCUCCAGGUCACAACGAAUCUCAGCCAGCUGGGAUUCCACGUUGGUGAUCAGGCACUGCAUCUGGCCCAGCUGGGAGCUGUAGCGGGCCUCUGUCUCAGCCAGGGUAGAUUCCAGAGAAUUCCUCUAAAAUGGGGAAGAAAAGCUAUUGAGGGGAAGGAAUCCCACCCUAAAUACCCUGGCAUCCGCACACAGUUGUGGUUUGGCCCUGUGAUAACAAAUGGCCAGCACACUGGUAAGUCGGAGAGCCUUUAAUGGGCAGAGACCACCCACCAUGCUCUGUUGAGCCUGCAGCUCGAUCUCCAGGGAGUUGACUGUGCGUCUCAGCUCAAUGAUCUCUGUCUGGCAACACUGCAGCUGCUCUGAGCUGGAUACCACCUGCUGGUUCAGCUCCUCGGUCUACAGAGAAGGAGAGAAUGAAGAACAGGGACAGACCUAGGGCUCCUCAUUUAUCCCACCCACAGCCUGUAGUCCUGGAUCGCCAGCCUCACCUGAGUGUUGAACCAAGCCUCCACAUCUCUACGGUUAUUCUCCACCAGCGUCUCAUACUGGCAUCGCAUGUCAUCCAGUAUCUUGUUGAGAUCCACUGGGGGAGCAGCAUCCACCUCCACAUUCAGUCGGUCCCCAAGCUGGGAACGGAGGGCAUUGACUUCCUGCAGUGGCCAAGUAAGAUAGCAUGAGGCUGUGGAAAGGUUCCUGUGGCUUGGUAGGUUCAAUGACCUGGAUUCUAAACUCUCAUCCCUCUCUUGGGUACCAUGAGAUAAAAGAGCUGACCUCUUUGAACAUGCCCCCCCACACACACGCACACACACUCCAUUGGACUGUCUAUGCUAACCCCUACUGAGGAUUUGGGGGAUGACACAGCACCAAGCAAAUAGAAUUAUUAUCAGACACCAUAAUCCAAAUUCAGUUGCACCAUCCUGGGUGAGGGUGGACUCUCUGUGUGACUGCAGGCAAAUGACUUCACAUCUUUAUGACUAACUUCCCAGCUGUAAAAUGGAGCUUACGGUGGGAGCUAACUCUUAGAAUCAUGGUGAAGGUGAGACAGAUGUAAAGUGUUUCACAUCCUGCCAUACAAUAAGCCCAAGGGCCAGCAGGGAUUCCUCAGUGGGAUGGGAACCCCGGGGAUCACGUGGCAGCAACCUCACCUCUUCAUGGUUCCUCUUGAGACACAGCAGCUCCUCCUUCAGGGACUCAACCUGUGCCUCCAGGUCAGCCUUACACAAGGUCAGCUCAUCCAAGAUCCGGCGUAGACCAUUGAUGUCAGCCUCUACCAGCUGUCGCAGGGACAACUCCGUCUCAUACCUACACACACAGAACCCUGCCAAGUCUGCGGCCAGGGAAGCCCUGUGCCAUAGCUAACUUGGAGUCAGAAGCACAGUGGCCCUUUCUCAUGUCCCAGGAGGGACCCAGGGCCUCUGCUAUGUCUUCCCAUUUACAAUUGUAUCUGGCUUUAUUCCCUCCUCAUCAGCUCCCAAAGGUUUGACACAGAUUUGACACAGAUCAAACAUCUCCUGUUUGGGCUACUCACUUGGUCCGGAAGUCAUCAGCAGCCAGCUUGGCAUUGUCAAUUUGUAAUAUCAGCCUGGCAUUCUCAGACUUGGUCAGCAGGAUCUGAAAAACAAGAGGUUUUUUCCUGAACUGAGAAAGACCCAGAAUGCGAUGUGUAUGAAGUGGGGAAGCCAGCUCACAGAUGCCUCUAAAAACAGGCAAAGUCUCCCAUAUCCAGGCAUGGAGGGAGAUCAGGGCCUAGGAGGGACACCACACCACUGGCCCAUCAGUCCUGGUUUCUGUAGCUUCUGAGCCAGCCCAGUAGGCUAUAUCAGGGUGAGGCAGACUUGGUAACUGAUUCUGGAUCCCACGUUCAAGUUAUACGAUCUUGGGCAAGUUGCUAAGCCUCUCAAAAUUCAACCUUCUUAUGUUAGAUGGAUAUAGCAAUACCCGUAUCUCCAGGAUGAAGAGUAAGUAAGCCAAGGAGGUGUCAGAUACAGUACUACACCAAGUGGAGACAACGGAUAUGAUCCUUCCAUCCCUAAGCUAAGAUGAUGAAGCAAAUAGAAGAAUGGCUGGUAACAGAGUACACAGACCACCAGGGAAGCCUGAGUCCCCAGGGAACCAAGUCCCAGAGAGUAGAGCUCUCCUUCCAGAAUUCUCUGUAAGCUUCAGUUCCAUCUGGCUGAGUCUUAGAACGGAAAGCUUCCUGGAGGUGUCUGGCCAGCUGUAAGGACCUGGCCUAUUACCUUCUGCUGCAACUCCUCAGCAGUCUUGAAGUAGGACUGGUAGUCCGGGCAGAUGUAUGGGAUCUGACACUCGUACCACUCUCGGAUGCGGCACUCCAGCUGUGUGUUCUCCUGCUCCAGCUGCCGCACCUUCUCCAGGUAGUUGGCCAGUCGGUCAUUCAAGAUCUGCAUGGUCGCCUUCUCGUUGCCAUUGAAGGCGCCCUCGCAGAACCAUCCCCCGCUCCCAGCAAAGCCAGAGGAGUGGCACCCAGAGGACAGGUAGGAGCCUGGCAAGCAGCUCCCAGGGCCAGAGAAGCCUGUCCUGAAGGAGGACACGGACCCCACAGUGCCAACCAAACUGGGGGCCCUGCAGGAGCCCAUGGAAUGGAUGGAAGAUAUCCGAGAGAAGCUCCCUGAAGUGCCACAGAGGCCCUUGGCAGACCCAGCAGAGAAGGUCGGGGUGCAGAUCUGGGUGGCCAUGAUGCUAGCGAGGAAGGUUGCUGAAUAGGUAGGAUCCCAGGUUGUGGAUUCUCCAGGCCUCCCUGGGGUGCUUAUAUACAAUCUUCAUGGGGUGUUGGCAUGUUCUAUGUCUUUAGCUCUUGGGAAAGCCCUGUCCGGUCCCAGAAAGCCCAUCUCAUUACAAUGUCAUUUUUGCCAUCCAUCAGAAUUUCUUUCCUUGUAAAAGAAAAAAAAAAUGUUGAAUUGGGUUUGCUAAGUCAGGACUUUCAGCCUUCGUCAUUUCCUAGCAGACUGAAUUUUAUUGCCACUUCAAAGAGUCUUUGCCCAAGACCUCAUAAACUGGGAGUGGCCUUGCAUAUGACAUUUGGUUUCUGUCCUCCCUACCUGCCUCCCCCUGAGGAAGCCAUUCUACCCAUCCCCACUCCCACAGCUGUUCAUCUGAGCCUGGGCCACUAGAGCAACGAAAAGGGAGUGAAGGAUUCACGAUGGAAUAUGAUUCCGCUAUAAAGAAAAAAUAAAAAUAUAGAUUUUGCAG